rnacentral:sRNA from 1 species
CUGACAGUACUGAAGAAAGGAGCUCUUUAUUUAUUUAUCCACAGAACAGGGUCAGCAUGGGCAGUGUUAAUACAGUCUUCCUCAUUGAUCCCCGCCGUCAUGCUUUUCCUCUAUCCUGAAGGGACCACCUCUCCCAGUUAGAGGGUAGAUACAUUUCCAUGCCCAUUCACACAUUGGCUUCU